rnacentral:rRNA from 1 species
AUGGCCAUCACUUCUCUGCAGCUGCCCUCUCAGAUCCACGGCCUUACUCCUGCUAGAAAUGGGCGCACCCGCACAAGGUCACGGGCUACUCUGCUUAGCUGCAAACACAACCAGUCAACCAUUGUCCAAGUAGCCAGCAGGACAUCCCGCAGAGAUACCCUGGCAUACAUUUCGUCUGCCUUCUUUGCAAUGUUCCUGGUGGCUGAACAUGCUGAAGCUAGAACCUCCAGACAAGAGAACAAGAGGAAAGUAAUGGAGAAGUUGGAGAAGGUCCGGGAGGAGGCCCUGGGCUCAAAGGAGAAGAAAGAGGACACGAGCAAGGAGUCUGUGGCGAACUUGUUGAUCCCUCCUACUUCGGUCGAUGCUUACAUCUGA